GCAUUAACCCCAAUGGCAGAGGAUGAUGCUGCGGCACCUCCAGUGACUCCAGCAGGUGCAUUUUUUCCUUGUUUGAAGCAAUGAUUGAAACCGUAUCCACCGCCACACCCUGAACAUUCGUGCUUAAAUCUACAUGCUGCCCCCCCCACUUACACUGUCCCUCAUUGAAGAACCAGGAAAAUCCCCUCCUAUGCAUAGCCGGUGAGGCGGAACAGGAACCGGUGCCAGCUAAGAUUGAAAGGGCGAUGCUUUUUGCCCCAUCAUCACUUUCAUCCAGAGUGUCAGAUCCAUUUGAUCCCAACACAUACCUGGAUUGACUGACAGAUGCUGACGGAACUGCUCGUCAUAUCGCCACCAUGCAAGCCCCCCAUACACCAUCCUGAUAACAGAACAAUUGGGAGCACUUAUCUGGUGAUUUCUCUCCUAACACGCUAGCCAGGAUACUGAAAGCCCUAAGCCAAUUUCCGAAAGGUUUUGGAAUCUUUCUAUACUUAAUAUUCCUCUAGGGGGAGGAGGAAAAAAAUCUCUACAAACUCACCUUUCCAGAUCCUUUCCUUGACUUCUGGCUUUAGAUGGCAGCCCAUAUGACACAUUUUGUCAAGCAGCCUCAGGAAUAUCCCCUACUAAUGUGUUAAUAAAAGAUUGUAGACACUCAAUGAAUCCCCCCGUGUGUGGCGCAUGAGGUGACUCACCAACUGAACCCUGUGUUACGUCUGAUCCUGUUGCUGCUCCCUGACUCCCUCCGUGUGUAUGUCCCGGCAAAGCUAUAUGCAAAACUGAUCCAACGUCCUGAAGUACUUGCAGGCCUGCAGCCUCCUUUUUUUGACACAUGGAAAAAGAAGAAAACAUCCUGGGUAGGCCGUCCCCAAUAUCCUGCACCCUCCUGGCCUCUCUCUGAGUCCCUGAACUCACAUGAACACUACUUGACCUGACAUCCUGGCCCAUAUGGCCGUACCUGACUCUGUAUGUUUCCUUCCUGCCUGGGGAGCCCCUUGUUGAUGUAUCUGGCAGCUUUGUGCCUGCUUUCCAACCUCUCCACCCCCCACACCAUGCCUGCAUUGUUCCUUUUAGCCUUGGGGACUGACUCACCCGGUAGCUUCAGGGAGAUUCCCUCUGUUCUCUGGCCGUCGUCCGCUUCCUUCGGGAUAUUAGCCUCUCAGGAGCGCCCCUCAAAGGCUGCAGCCACCAUUUGAUAUUCCCCUGUGACCGCCGGAAAUUGCGUGGUCACGUGUUCUUGGCCGCACGCCUCACUUUGCGGUGGACCUCCAAGGCAUGCAGCCACACAUGUGAUUUGUCCUCUAUCUGUAGUCGGUAACCGAGUGCCUUCUUUACCCUUCCUAGAUGUGUGGGUCAUGCGGGAAGGGGUUCUCUUCCGGAACAGCAGUGUCUCCUCUCCAGGGCUGAGCCUCUGCAGCGGCCAAGUCUGCCGUGCUGUCCGUCGCAACUGGAGCCCAGCUGGGCCUGCUGAGCCAAUUGUUAUUCUCCACCGGUCCUGCAACCAAGCCACAUCAUGAUCCAUCGUGGCAGCCCGGAUACUUUUAAUAAAGGCCUCCACAUCACGCUCCGGAUCCAUGGAACCUGAAAGACAAAAGAAAGAACACCAACGUGCUGCAGCAACAACAGGUAAGUUAGUUAAAAGAGGGUUCUCCCUAAAAUGGCCGCUAUUUAUGUGGCUAUAGGCCACCCCUUCCCAAAUUCUAUAAUCCACUCCCCCUAUCCAUAUGCCUGCCUCCUAGCUAGGUCAAGGCCCACUCCUCUUAGCUGUUCCCUGGGCUUCAUUCCUGGUGAUAGUGAAAAGGUUAAUCUGGGUUCUCCACCUAAGGUGGGAGUUCGAAUGAAAGUUUGUCCUCCUAAUGUUAAAUAAAGACCCUCUCUCGCGUUGCCACAGAUAAAAUCUAUUCCUUGCUAGCUAUUCCUAUUUAUUCCGCCUUGCUGCCUCUCACAAUAAAUGAUGCUUUAAAUUUUAUGUAUUUAUGUAAAAUUAUUUCAACAGGGAGACACUCCCGAGAUGAGGCCUUAUUUGCAUAGUUACACUGUAAAUUUUACAUUUGCAUUCUAAUCUUUAUAUAAAGUAGACAGGCACUCUGCUCUGUAAUGUGACUUGUUCUAAAAUCUCCUCUUAUGGAAUUAUUUAUAUUCCCCUCUUGCAAUGUCAAAUUAAAAUUAACUCAUGUAUUGCCCAAAGAGGACCAAAGCAUUGUUUCUGUUGUCAUGCUGGAUAGAAAAAGACUGAAGCAACAGGAAGUAAAUACAGUUACUGAGAUCAAAGUGGAAGCUAUACAGCUAUCUCAGAAUCUGUUACAAGUUAUUAUGAUAGCUCAUUCAGUUUUCAUACGUGCCAACAGGCCCAUAUUUACAGGAAUAGUCCCUAGUUUUGGUUCUAUAGCACUCUUGCAGACUUUUGGGUUUAUUCACACUAAGGGUUAUUUACUGGAAUGAGAAUACAAAGUGAUUUGCAAAUUUAAAAUCAAAAUAAUUAAACUGGAAUAAUACUCUAAGUUAGCUAUGCUUUUACUUCAACUACUCUGACCUUAAAUUUAAAAAUUCACCUCAAAUUCUUAUUUCAGUCAAUAAUCCUGAUAGUUGGGAAAUUGUAGAGAAUUGCAGGGAAUUUUAAUUUUCAUUGGCCAAAUUCUCCAAAGCAUAUAUUUUCUAACUCAGGUGCUGUAUCCUAAAAUUAGCAUUUACCAAGUCUACACAAUCGCGACACAGAGUUUAUUUAUAAAUAAAUGCCAUGUCCUAUUGUGUUUUAUACCCCACCUCCUAUAGACUGUAAGCUCGUUUAAGCAGGGUCCUCUUCAACCUAUCGUUCCUGUACGUUUUCUUGUAAUUGUCCUAUUUAUAGUUAAAUCUCCCCUCUAAUAAUAUUGUAAAGCGCUAUGGAAUCUGUUGGUGCUAUAUAAAUGGCGAUAAUAUUAAUAUGUAACACUUGUUUCCAUGCUAGGUGUUGGAAAUACCACCUUUUUAUAUCUAAUUGAAAAUUACACCUAAACAUUGCAAAAUGUAAUAAAAAAAACAAACAGUACCUUUAUGACUUUGUAGUUAAAAUCACAGCUGGAAAUCGUUCGUGCCUCAUGUGUACUACAUCAGAGAUGAUGAAUGACAAACCGCGUUAGUGCUAUUGUGGUGGUGUCUUUCCUCUCCUGAUAGUUCAUGCCAUGAUUUUAACUAUGAAGUUAUAAAGGUAAGUUUAUUCUAUUUUUCAAUUUAAUUAUUUUUUUUAUUUUUUUAUUUGGCUGAAUGACAUAUGCUUUCUUAUCUACAGGCUCAGAUCAAGUUAUAACCCUGCUGCAAUUAUUCCUUUCUUUGAUGUGUAGAUAAUUCCAACAACUUUUAUACUUUGGAAAAUUACACUGACCUCAUCUUGGCGCAAAGUGGAAAAGUUAAAGGGACACUAUAGUCACCAGAACAAGUCCCUGCCCACAUAGUUGCCAACAUUUGAAAUCAUUCCCAGGGACACUUUGCAGCACGGAUAUUAAUGCCUACCUUGAAAAUUGACCACACCCACUGCCACAAAACUCCGCCCACUAUGUCCAACCCACAUAAUUAAUCUCUGUCUACUUAUAGUGCAGAUUACAGGGUCUACUCAAUCAAGAGAGAAUUACAGGGAAUUGAGAUGGAAAUUUUAAACUUAAGGCCAAAGUAGCAGAGUUGGAAAAUUUUCCCCAUUCAGCUGCACUGGUUUGGCCUAAAGUUUGAAAUUCCCAUCACAAUUCCCUGCAAUUCUCUCUUUAUUGAAUAGACCUUGAUAACACCAAGUUCCCACCAACAGUACCAUCAUCCUUGGUGUGCGAUUGAUACAUUCGCAGCACAGUAUCUAUAUCAGGAAGGUACAUUUUAUCACUUUAAUGUGAGUUGGGUAUCAGUGGUAACACUGUCAGUACAAAUAUAGAAAGACCUUGUGCUGAUGUACUUCAGUCAGAGAGCUGUGCCUACACCAUAGAACAUACAUUAGUUCACAAAAAUAAUUAUAUUGGGGAGUGAUAGAAAAAAAAAGCUAAAAAUAGGAAAAGAAAGAUAUAGAAGAAGAAUUUACAUAAUGGAAUUAAAGAGAGAAAUGGGUGCAAAAUGAAAACAUAUGAACAUAUUCUAUUGGCCCCUUUUCACGUCUUUCAUGUCCCGAAUUCUACAUGUUGAAUGUCUCAGAUUGAGGCUUCAGCCACCACUCCACUGCUUCUGAUUCUUCUAGUUCCUGGAGUCUGUGGGUAUUAUACAGAGAGCAGCACUAUACAGGGAGCACUGACCAUCCCAGGAUAUUAUACACAGACCUGUAUUAUACAGAGAGCAUCACUAUACAGGGAGAAUUGACUGACCCGGAAUAUUAUACACAGACCUGUGUUAUACAGAGAGCAGCACAAUACAGGGAGCACUGACUGUCCCAGGAUAUUAUAUAAACAUACCUGUAUUAUACAGAGUGCAGCACUAUACAGGGAGCACAGACUGUCCCAGGAUAUUAUACACAUAGUACAAAACAAAUGGUAUGCACAAAUAGUGAUACAAAUAGAUUGCUCUAAAACACCCGUGUAGGAUCCCCUAUACCAACACUGUUAAAUACAUACAGAACAGGAAAAAAUGGAUGGAGCAAUAUUAGUCCUCUCUUCUCGACUUGUAGUUCUGUGGAGACAGAGAGGUACACACAAUAGUGCAGAUGGCUAUAGACAGGUGUGGCUAGGUGAUAGAUGAAAACACUCACAAACGUAGAGCCAAUUGGACCUGGCUCUGGUAUCAAGGCCUCAGGAUCUUUUGGGGGUGAUCCAAAUCCCUGUGGAGGUGUUCUGGAUGUCCAAGGAUACUUUCUUGUUCCACCAUAAACAGCAAGGGAUUCAAUUAGAUGUAAAGUAAAAUAUAAUUUAUUAAUACAUAUAUAGGAAAGAUAAGUGUGAAAUAACAGCCAAAACGCGUUUCGCCUCUUGGGCUUCCUCAGUUGGCUGUGUACUAGUCUCUAAGUCCUUCUCUGCCUUUAAACGUUGGUUUUGCGGUCUUUUUCAGCGUGGAACGCACCUUGCGUUCCAUCUUCCAAUCGUUGGUUACUUCCGGGUUCUGUAAAAUGCGGACAAUCACGUGGGGCGGUCUUUUCGUAGGUGGAACGCAUCUUGCGUUCCAUUCUCCGAUCUGUGUUUACUUCCUGGCUUCGGUCAUGUGUGUCAUCACGUGUAUAGCGUUUCGUGCACGUGAUAUCUAAUUUGCAUUGUGGAAUACUCUUUCGAUGGAUAUUCCUCUCGGGCUAAUAAUUAAAUAAUAAGUUCACUAACAUAUUAAUGUGAUAAUCACUGUAUACUAAUUGACCAUUAUAAAUGUAAAUAUACCUGGGUACAUGACAAGAUAAAUGGAUAUAUUAACAGACUCUUUGUGGUGACAAAACACUUAGCUUUAAAAUUAACAAUUGGAUAGCUAAGUUCUUAAAGUGACGGUGCAUGAUUCUAAACAUAACCUAAUCAGUAUUUAGGAAUGCAAUUGUUUGGCUCAAAAAGGCUGUUCUACACAGGGCUUCAAUUUUAAACAAGAAAAAGAGAAAGGGAAGAAAAAGAAAGAGAAAGUAAUGUUAAUGGAUCAUUUGAAACAGAAUUUUACCAUGGAGAUAUAUAUACAUUAUACCCUUAUUUCCUCAGAUUUGUAAAGUGACAGUGUGCAAUUACUUUUAAUGUAAACUCAGCUCAUAAGUGGCUUGAUGCUUGUGUGCUUAAAGUGGCAAUGCUUUUAUGAUGUUCUGAAAAAUAUUAUUAUACAUGGUCUUGCAAGAUCUUGGUUUAAUCUUAUAUUAAUCUCUAAAUAAAUACAUAUAUUUACGACUAAUGGAUGGUUAAAAAAAAAAAAAAAAAAGGGGGAACUAUAAAAAGUGGCAUAAUUCGAAAUCUUGAUUAAGGCCGUGUGGGAUAAGCGUUUUAAAAUUAUAAAUAAAUUUCAUCUCUUCUUCUCCUAUUUUUCUAUUAAAAUCUCCUCCCCUCCAAUCUUUUUGUACCAAUUUGAAGGCGCAAAAGAACAUGUUUUUUGGUUCACUAUUGUGGUGUAUCUUAAAAUGAUUCGAUACACUGUGCGUUUCUAAACCCUUUUUGAUGUUUCUUACAUGUUCUGCAAUCCUGACAUGUAGGCUUCUAAUAGUUCUGCCUACAUACAUCAGACCACACGGGCAUCUAAGAGUAUAAAUGACAUUUUUUGAAAAACAUGUUAAUAGAUUAUUAAUUGUGAAUUUUUUAUCUUUUUGGUAGUUGAAGGAGGUGAUAUGUCUUUUACUCUGAUUGGUACCUCUACAGGCUAGACAGGAUCCACAACCAUAAAAACCUUUAUUUUUAUUUAAAAAAUGUUCUGUAUUUUUAUUUUUAAAACUACUUUUAACUACCAUUUGUUUUAGAUUUUUACAUCCUCUAUACACUAUCAUCGGCUUGGGAGGUAAAAUCUGUUUUAAAAUGGGGUCUUCUUGUAGGACUGGCCAGUAUUUUUUAACAAUUUUUCUUAUAGUGGCAUUGUUUCCGCUGUGGUUGCAUAUAAAGGGAAUUUUUAUUUUGCUUUCAUUAUAUGCAUUGUUUUUCUUUUUUAUAUUUCCUUUAGAUUUAAUAAGUUCCUGUCUUCUAAUUUUUCUGUUCUAUUAUACACAUAGACCUGUACUAUAGAGAGAGCAGCACUAUACAGGGAACACUGACUAUUCUGUGACAAUAUACAGACACAGAUCUGUAUUAUACAGAGAGCAGCACUGUACAGAGAGCACUGACUGUCCCAGGAUAUUAUACACACAGACCUGUACUAUACAGAGAGCAGCAAAUACAGGGAACUCUGUAUAAUACAGGUAUGUGUGUAUAAUAUCAUGGGACAGUCAGUGUUCCCUGUAUAGUGCUGCUCUCUGUAUUAUACAGGUCUGUGUCUGUUUAAUAUCACAGACUAGUCAGUGUUCCCUGUAUAGUGCUGCUCUCUGUAUACUACAGGCCUGUGUCUGUUUAAUAUCACAGAAUAGUCAGUGUUCCCUGUAUAGUGCUGCUCUCUGUAUACUACAUGUCUGUGUGUACUCAGCCAUCUGUGUGUGUGUACUCAGCAGUCUUUGUGUGUGUACACAGCAGUCUGUGUGUGUACACAGCAGUCUGUGUGUGUAUUCAGCAGUCUGUGUGUGCGUGAAUUCAGCAGUCAGUGUGUGCAUGUAUUUAGCAGUUGGUGUGUGUGUGUGUAUUCGGCAGUCUGUCUGUGAAUGUGUUCAGCAGUCUGAGUGUAUGUAUGUAUUGCAUUUGUUGGAGGUACCAAUAAAUAUAAGCUUAAUUUUAUUGAUAAUACAGGUCUGUGUGCAUAAUAUCAUGGUACAGUCAGUGCUUCCUGUACAGUGCUGCUCAGAUGGCGUAUAAAGGGACUUCCUGGGGCAGUGCUGCACAGUGUGACUGCCAUUCAGUGUCUCCACCCUCCGCAUGGAAACACUGAACUUUCCUCAUAGAGGAUCAAUGAAUCUCUCUAUGAGGAGAUGUUGAUUGGCCAGGGUUGCAUUUGGCUCUACCCCUGGCCCGCCUCCUUGGUUGAGAUCAUCAGAAUUGACAAUCUCAGCCAAUCCAAUGCUUUCCUCUGGGAAAGCAUUGUGGUUGGCUGAGAUCAUCACUUCUUACAAUGUAUGUAAAAAGUAAUGAUAUACAAUGAUGUAUGUAUAGACAUCAAGAGUUAAACACUAAUUUAAGAGGUUAGUAGGACCUACAGCAGCAAAGGGAUUAAAAUAUUAUUAAUUCCGUAACAUAAUAAGUGAACAAUCAUGUUGUCUGUUUCCCCCCCAAACUCUACUCACUAUGCUGAGACAGUAGCCAUAUAACUACUGUAGAUUUAAAAAAAGGAGAAUUCAGAAGGCACUAACAAUACAUCAAAGUUAUCACAAUGGGGGAGAGUUAUCAAGUCAAUACAGACAAUGUUUGGGGUGCAAUGUGCUCAAUAUUGAGAGACGUUAAUUUGCUUUUAAUGGUGAUGGUUCCUUAUUUAGCACUUUGCUCCAGAACAGCACCUUGUAGGACUCUCUAGAAAGGGCUGGAGUAAUAUACUCUGUUUAGGCAAUAGACAUGCCAGGCUGUCUUUUAUCUCUGCAAGCCUUUUAGAAAAUGCCACCAGAAUCACUACAAGAAUAUAAAAUGCCAGAAUAAAAAAGCUACAAUGAAGUUUGGUAGAAAAAAAGAGUAUUGCUCAAACUUUCUAUGAUAACACAUUGGUCCGUACUAGCAAAAGGUCCUCAGUCUCUACAAAAGCUGCUCAAUUUCACCACCCGUGUCAGGGAAUCCCAGACCACAACUCAAUGCGUGCUAAAAAGCAAAAUCCCAGAAAAGCAAGGAAUAGACACAAAAUAUCUGUAGAGGGAGGAAAGGGAACUUUCCAUCUAUUUCAGAAACAUUUUUUUUUUGCUUUGCAUUCAGGAAGAAACUGAAGAUACGGCUCUUCAACCAGGCGUAUUACACCGGCUGCUAUCAAUGUUUGUUUUUUCUCUCUACCUUCAGGCACAACCACUCAUAGAAAACGAGCUUCUAGAUAGAUAGAUGUUUUCAUUCUGUGUCUACGUUGAGGCUAUGAAAAUACAUUUUGGCUUUUUUUUACAUUCUUUUUAUUUUUUUAUUCUUUUUGCACUCCUGCAAAGUAAUAUGCCUCUAAACCCAAACUGUCAAGAAAAAAGCCAGAUACAUAGUACGGGUCAUUUAUUGCUUCUAAUCAUAUAGGUGACAGGCAGAAUCAUCAGCAGGUGCUGCAAUUCUUAGGUUCAAUGGCAAAAACAAAAUCCAUCUGCUUUAAAGAACUUGGUCAGCAGGAUAUAGAAGAAUCGGCCCUGAAUAAUGAAUUAUCGGAGCUGGGAAUGCAGAGAAACUGGUGGAGAUGCUUGAUAGUCAUUAGGUUUGCUGGUUGCUCUUUGCGUUAUCUGGUUUCGUUAAGAUCUAUCUAUCUGUUUGUCUAUCUGUUUGUCUGUUGUCUAUCUGUCUGUCUGUCUAUCUAUAUAUCUAUCUGUCUGUCUGUCUGUGUCUAUCCAUUUAUUUAUCUGUUUGUCUCUGUCUUUCUGUCUGUCUAUCCACAUUUUGCAUGUUUAAUAGUUUUCAAAAAAUGAGAAAAUAAACAUACAUCAAACAAACAGUAGAUCAUAGAUACAAUAGAAAUAUAUCGAAAGAAAACAAAUAGAAAUGCACAACACAUGUGGGCAAUACGGGGUGCACACCACUUUAU